rnacentral:misc_RNA from 1 species
AUGGCAGAAAAAAACAUCUAUUUUGUUAAUGAUGAAGUAGAGUUGAAACAAGUUUUAGAAUUUAUUGACAAAACUGAUUACGGCGUUAACAUUGACAAAACACGCGAAGAUGUUUAUGCGGUCGUGACUUCUUAUAGCCUCCCUAUUUAAGAGGGUAGAAAUGAAAAAAAUUUUAGCUAUUGACUUCAGUACAGCUAGUAAGAAAGACGAGGGAACUGGGUACGCCUUUAGAAAAGACGGACAAUUAUAUGUCGGUUCCAUUAAAGCAUAUAACGCAAAGAAAAACGCGUGGGAACGUACUUUUGACAUUGUGAACGCAAUUAAAGAUAUCAUAGAUGAGUUUGACUUAAAAGACUAUCACAUGGCUAUUGAAACGCCUAUCAUGGGUAGAAACAGAAAGCACAGUAUCACAUUGGCUAAUUGUAACGGUUAUUUUAUCGGUGCUAUUGACGGUCUAGUAAAUGGCUAUACUUUUAUUGAUAACUCUAAAUGGUGUAGCUAUCAUUUAAUUUCAGGCAAACGAGAACAACGAAAAGAAGAAAGUUUGGAACUUUUAAAACAGACUGGACUUGUUCCGCUUGAUUGUAAAGAUGAUAACAUGGCUGACGCUUAUAACAUUUUGACAUAUUGCGAACACUUGGGUUAGUUGUUCCCUUAUAAAAAAACAAUAAUAAUAAUUGGAGGUGGUAAUAUAAAAGUAUCACAAAACGGUUUGAACUUGAUUAAAGAGUUUGAGGGUUGUAGGUUGACUGCUUAUAAACCUGUACCGUGGGAACAAAUGUACACUAUCGGUUGGGGUCAUUAUGGAGUCACAGCAGGUACAACUUGGACACAAGCACAAGCUGAUAGUCAGCUAGAGAUUGACAUCAAUAAUAAGUAUGCACCUAUGGUUGACGCUUACGUAAAAGGCAAAGCAAACCAAAACGAGUUUGACGCCUUAGUGUCAUUGGCUUAUAACUGUGGUAAUGUUUUCGUUGCUGACGGUUGGGCGCCAUUCAGUCAUGCUUAUUGUGCUUCAAUGAUUCCGAAGUAUCGUAAUGCAGGCGGUCAAGUCUUACAAGGCUUAGUAAGACGCAGACAGGCAGAGCUUAACUUAUUUAAUAAACCAGUAUCAAGUAAUUCAAACCAAAACAAUCAAACAGGAGGAAUGAUAAAAAUGUACCUUAUUAUAGGACUAGAUAAUUCAGGUAAAGCUAAACAUUGGUAUGUUUCUGACGGUGUAAGUGUUCGUCAUGUUCGUACAAUUCGUAUGUUGGAAAACUAUCAAAACAAAUGGGCUAAACUUAACUUGCCAGUUGAUACAAUGUUUAUUGCAGAAAUCGAAGCAGAGUUUGGACGUAAGAUUGACAUGGCUUCAGGAGAAGUGAAAUAGGAGGAAGUGAAUGAGCUUAUUUAAUCUCUCACGCAGAGCUGAAGAUGUGAGCUUUUCAACUUUCACGGUCCAAGACCCAACAACUGAUUUGUUACUGGGUAAACUCUUGGGCUUAGUUUCCUAUUUUGAUAAUGUUGAUUAUUCUGAAGCGUCUAAACUUGAAGACCUAUUCUAUUGGGCUUUACAAGGAAAAGAAGUAUACCGUGUUUGGUAUGGUGGUUUUAAGUAUUAUGCUCAAAGAGUAAACGCAGACCAGUUUAACAUCGUAGUAAGAGAACCGAACCGCAGGGAAGUCACUAUUAGAACAAACGACUAUGAAAUGUUAUUAAACCCAUUCUAUGGUGCUAACCCUCAACGGUUUGGCGUGAUGUUUGGAAUGGCUAGUAAUGGCAUUGGGCGACGUCUUGAUUCACAGGCUCAAAUCAAAAUCUAUUGGAAAACUAAAGUUUCUAGUGGUUUGAAAGAAGUUUGGGACAGAAUUAGAGAACGUCUAACACAACAACAACAACUUGCCAGAGAGUUCAAUGGUGUAUCUGUUAUUGGCUCUGAUGAUGAUAUCAAACAGAUUCAACCAGAUUACAGCGGGUCACUGCAAAAUGACGCAAACCUUGCAAUUGAAAUUGCUUUGAGUGAGUACGGAAUGCCCAGAGAAUUGCUUUAUGGACAAAGUAAUGAGGUUACUAUUAUCGCUUUCGCAAUUCAAAAAGUGUUACCAUUAUUGAAACAACACGAUAAGAACAUUAUUUUCAACCAAGAAAAUUUUGUAGCUUAUAUAUCAACAACCGCAAAAGGAGGAGCUAUUGAAAGUAAAAGCAGUAAGAGGGAUAGCGAACCCGUUGGGAACGAUUGACGCUCAUGGUACGGUUAUCGAGUCAAUUGCUAACGCAGGCGACGGAGUAGAUAUUCUAAACCGCCAUAGAGAAAAGAUCGGUUCAGGGUUCGUACAUCUUGAGGGGGACAAUGUAAUCUUGACAGGUUACGUUGACGAAGAACAGUACACAGCCGAAAAGAUUGAGGAAACAGGGCUAUCAGUUGGCUUUAAUGCUAACGGUGUAAAAGCUCGUGAAAUUGACGGAGUAGGCUAUUAUAAAGAUGUUACAAUUACGGAGGUGUCACUUACUCCGUUACCAAGUAAUAAAGGUGCUAAAGUGACAAAAGUAAGAGAAGAAAACAAAGGAGAACAAGAACAAAUGGGUGCAAACGAAACACAAGAAAUCAUGAAACAAGCAAUCGAAGCAGGUGUAAAAGUUCGAGAACUUGAAGCUAAAGUGGAAGAGCUUAACAAAGAACGUGAAGAACUUAAAAAAGAACGUGAAGCGUCUAUCCCUAGCGAAAAACCAGAAGACGCAGAACGUAAAUUCAUGCGUGAACUUGGUUCUAAAAUGGCUGAAAUGCCAGAACAAGGUUUCUUGCGUGAAUUUGCUAAUGGUGCAGAUUUGAAUGUUGUCAACUCUCUUGGGUCUAUCACUUCAAAAUAUGCUCGUAAGUCAGGUAUUUAUGACGGUGCUAUGAAAGCACGCUUUCAAGGUUUGACACUUGCAGAGGACGGUGUAGAUGAUACAUUUAUCUCUGGUACUUUCAAAGCAGGUACAGAUAAAAACAAAUCUCAAACGGCUACUAAACGUUCACUACGUCCACAAAUGGCAGAAGCAUACCUACAAAUGGACAAAGCAACUGUUCGAGGUGUAAAUGAUUCAGGUGCAUUAUCUGAAUAUGUAAUGUCUGAAAUGGUAAACCGUGUUAUCCAAAAAGUGGAAUACAAUAUGAUUCUUGGUUCUGUUGACGGUUCUAACGGUUUCUAUGGUUUGAAAACUGCCACAGACGGUUGGACAAAACAAAUCGAGUAUACAGACUUGUUUGAGGGUAUUACUGACGCAGUUGCUGAAUGCUCAAUUUCUGACGCUAUUACAAUUGUUAUGAGUCCGCAAACUUUUGCAGAGUUGCGUAAAGCUAAAGGAACAGACGGUCACUCUCGUUUCAACGAACUUGCGACAAAAGAACAAAUCGCUCAAUCAUUCGGAGCCGUUAAUCUUGAAACUCGUGUCUGGAUGCCUAAAGACGAAGUAGCUGUUUACAAUCACGAUGAGUACGUGCUUAUCGGAGAUUUGAAUGUAGAAAACUACAAUGACUUUGACCUCCGUUAUAACGUUGAACAAUGGCUUUCUGAAACUCUUGUUGGUGGUUCUAUCCGUGGUAAAAACCGUUCAGCAUACCUAAAAAAAAAGGGUAGUUUAGGUGUCUAAAUAAGAAAGGGAGUAAAUAAUGGCUGAAUUUAAUAUUACAGACCGUUAUGCUCAACAAAUCGAGAAUGUGAUAAAUGGGGGGAACAUCAGCGAUUCGUUCCCUCUCUUGUCACGUAUCCCUAAAGUUGGGGCAGAUUUGUUGCAGUCGGUCAAUCUAACAGGUUUUCCUGAAGCUAAAGAGCAAGGGCAAUCAGGUAGCGUUUUAGAUGUAAAUGAAACAAGUUAUAAAAUCUUGACGCCUCGUGGCUUUGGUUUUGGUAUCAAUCUAUCAGAUUCAGGUAACUUAACUGCUGACGGUGUACAAAGUGCAUUGAAUACAGUACGAGAUACUUUAUACCAAACAAUUGAAAGUCACUUGAUUUGGGCAGGGGUUCAUACUUCAAUUGCCACAAGUUCAAUUGUUGGGGCUGUUAAACAAAAAGCAAGUUCAGAUAAGUUUUCACAGUCAGGCGAUGAUAUUCUUUUCGUAAAAGAAAAUGAUUUCACGCCAGUUGUGGACGGAGUAACAAAAAUUGAAACAUUGAGCUUUAAGCACUAUAACACAGAAGUUGAAAAUACUUUUGAUAAAAUUCUUGUCAACCCUUAUAAGGGAAUUCUAGCAGGGGACUUGACGCCACAGUUUAAAGUGACUAAAGAUGUUCGUCACAACAAGGUACAAGUUUAUGGCACUAUUACCGUUUGCGGUGGUUUCCUUAAAGACGGUGCUAUUAAAGUUUGGAAAGUAGUAGGAGGAUAAAAAUAAAUGGCAUAUACAUCAAAAAAUGAAUUAACCCACGGUCUAGGGUAUGGGGUUGUAUUCACAGACCCAGCAGGGUCAACCACAGGUAUCCCGAUUGCAGGGUUACGCGGUAUUGAAACAAAGAACGACCAAAAAAACACAAACUUCUAUGCAGGGUUUAACGCACCUUAUCGUACAAUUGCAGGGGCUAAAAAUACAGAAAUCACGGUUAAAUCUUAUGACUUGCCAGACGCUUUUGCGACUCACGCUUUAGGGUUUGGAAAUGUUUCAGGGUUCUUGGCUGACGAUGUAGCAAAUUACAAGCCUUAUGGGUUUGCUUAUGCUGAACGUUAUCGCGACGAUGACGGAACAGGGUAUAAAGCUACAUUCUAUCCAAGUGUUCAAGCUACAACGCCUAGCGACACAGCCGAAGCGGACGAAGAAAGUCCAACUGGUAAAGAGUACGAACACACAGCAACUGUGACGACUGGAGAUUUUACACUAGGGGGUAAAAAACGCUUGUUUGUAAAAUUCAAAGUGUCUGACACAGACCUUGCAACUGGAACAAGUGGUCCUGCACUUGCGUUUAAAAAGUUGUUUAAUGAACUCAAACCACUCAAAGAUACUGACAUCAAAGCGUAAUUUUUAAGAGUGGAGGGCUUGGAAUUAAUAGUUCCCACUCUUUUUUUAAUUUAUAAGGAGAAUAGAAAAAUGAAGAAAGAAGAUUUUAAAUUUGAUUUUAAAGCGUUAGAACGUAUGGAAGACAACGGCGUUUACUUUGGAGAUUUGAACGAACGCGAUUAUCACAGUUUGGCAUUGUUCUUUUGGGCUUGCGCACCACAAUAUACACUUGAUGAAAUUCUAGGGGCUUUAAUUGGUGGACUUUUACCUGUCACAGUUGCCGAACUCAUGGAACAAUUGGUAGACGAAACAAAAAAAGCGAUAGCACUAGCAGAGAAGAAAUAAGGGACGACGCAAGAAUUACAACACUUGCAAUUGUUAGUGCUAUGACGGCUUUUAGAGUCCCCUAUGAAGUAUAUAGCCAUAGACCUUUAGGGUGGACGCUUAAACUAAUUUCAACGUUGACACCUAAAGAGAAGAAGAAAACAACCGCAGAGGAAUUAAACAAAGCGGAACAUGUGGAGGUAAAAUUAUGGCAACCACCAACAAAGUCACAGGACUAGAAAAAUUUACAGAGAAACAACUUAAGAAAGUUUGGUUAGAAAUGGUUGAUAGCUUCAACUCUAACCAGAAUACAAUCAAGCGUAGUUAUAAAAGUUCAUUGGGUGGAAAUUUCUCACGUUACCCUGUUAAGUUUGAUACUAAGAAAAUCAAUAAGCAAAUAACACGUUCGUACGGUUCACUAAAAAGCGGAAACAUUGGUGUAGUCAAUGGCUUCAAAGCUAAAGAUGAAAGUUGGAAAAUGCUCAAUGUCUUAUUACAUGACCGUAAUUUACACCAACGUUAUGGACAGACGCUAGUUAAAGCUACUCACGAAAUGGACGAUAAAACUAAAAACAUUAAGCGUAAGUUAAGGAGUAUAAUAAACAAUGGCUAAAGAAAAAUAUGUCAUUCAGGCAGAACUGGAAACUAAAGGCGUUCUAAGCAAUGCUAGGGAAGCACAAAGAGAAAUCAAUAAUAUUGGGCGUCUAGCUAAAGAAACGAACAAGAACGCUCAAAUAACUGGUUCUGUUACUAUGAAAGACAAGGGUAUUAAAGAAACACAGAGAGCCUUAAACCUUGCUAAACAGAAUGUAGAUAAUUUAACAAAAGCACUUGCGAACGCUAAGAUGUCAGGAGCUACACAAAAACAAGUGCAGGCAUUAGAAAGUCAGUUAGUAAAAGCUCAAACGCAAGCAACUAGACUAAGCACAGAACUAGCUAAAGUAGGUUCAGAAAAAGGGACAGGCUUAUCAGGUGCAGUUGACAAGAUGAAGUCGGCAGGCGGUUCGUUACUUGGUACGUUCUCAAAAGUUGGUAACGUUGUAAGUGGUAUCUCGUCAGCUAUUGGGCUUGUAAGUGGUGGAAUUUCAAAAGCUGUUGACUUGACUAGUGGUUUUGCAAACACACUAAUGGACACGUAUGAUAAGCAAAUUCAGGCACAGAAAACACUUAGCACAACACUUUCAGAUGGAGCUAAAGGAUAUGAACAAUUUAACGGUCAUAUUGAUAAAGGUAACUCACUCCUAAAGUCACAAAAAACUGACUUGAAUGAAUUAGGGGCUACUAUUUCUAGUUAUAUGAAAGUAAGCGGAGAUGAAGCCUUUAAGACUGUUAAUGCUAUUAAUGCUGUGGGAGAUAGCUUAGGUCUAGGAAUGGACACACAAAAGCAAUUUACUUACGGUUUAGCUCAAGCGUUAGGGUCUGGUACGUUACACGCUCAAGAUUUCAACCAAAUGAUGCAAUCGGCACUUGGUGCGCAGUUCCGCGAUAUGUUGAUUCAGGCAGCGAACGAAAUGCAAAAUGUAGGAAUGACAGCCGAACAAUUGCCAGACGCUUUGAAAAAAGGUAAAGUAGAGGCUGACUUAUUGGCAAACACCUUUGGCGAUAAUUGGGCUAGUAAAAUGGCAAAAGCUCAAACAUCGUUAAAAGGUAUUGAGGUUUCUACUGGUGGCGUAAAACGUAUGCUAAAAGACGGUCAAUUGAGUGUACAAGAUUUUACCAACGUAUUCGGAGACGGUUUCACAAGUUCGUUACUUAACGCCAUGAACACAACAAGCGACGGCGCUGUUACUAUGGAAAACUUCAAAGAUAAAAUGGAAGACGGAGUUUUCAGCACAGAAGUUAUGAACAGAGCCAUUGAAUUGUUCCAACAAAAAGGGGAGAAAUUGGCGUCAAGCGGCCCUAGCACUUGGGCACAAAUUAGGGAGAUGAUUUCUAAUGGUUUCAAUACAAGCGCUUUGGACGGUUUCCGUAAAGGGUUAGGCGAUACUGGUUUAGACAUGUCUUCAAUGGGUAACAACGCCACAGAGAUGUCUAGCAUUGUCGGUAGUAAGUUAGGUCAAAUGGCGGGUCAAGCGGUCGGUGCUUUAACUAAAAUCAUUGACAAGAACAAAGACGGUAAAGUUUCAAAUGAAGAAAUGGAAGGCGCAGUAAACGACGCUAAAGACGCAGUUACUAACUUCUUUAAUAAAAUCAACUUUACUUCUAUUCAGGGUUUCUUAGGAAAAAUCGGAAACGCUAUUGAUGAACUUGUAAGAUUCUAUAACUGGGCUAACGACGCUUAUGGAGCUGUUCAAAACUUAUUAAGCGCUUCACGUCAAGUCGGAGGUAACACAGGUCUAAUUGGUAAAGCCUUAGGGUUUAGAAAGAACAGUACAUGGGGCGACGCUUUUAGUGAUUUCCAUUGGCUAACAAGUAACAUUGACCCUCUAGGGUUAAAAGAAAACCAAGGACUGGGACAAAAACUCCUGGGUUCUAGAAACGGUCAAAUUCCAUUAGAUUUGCAAUUCUUUGCAGGUGGUAGGGAAGCAAUCAACAAAGCGGUGGACGCUGUACAACCUUAUGCACGAGCAAGCAAAGGAACAACAGCAACGUCUAGCAUUGGAACACAGGAUAACUCUAAGCAAGACAUUAAAAUCUAUGUACAAUCUAGCGCAGACGGUCAAAGAAUUGCCAAAGAGAUUUAUAACAAACUGGAAAGAAACGGAGUUAAAUUGAAUAAGCGUUGAUUUAUACUAAAAGCAAGCUAUAUAAUAACCCUAAGUGGAUAAAAAAAGCACGCGCAGAGAAAAAUAGGAUAGGGCAUUGUGAGAAAUGUUGGAGUACAGAGCAUUUAAUAUGCCACCACGUUAUACCACUACAAUGGAAUAAUGACAUGUUAGAGGUAAAUGACUUUGACAAAGAAGUAAUAAACGUACCUACUGAAGUUCUUUGCCAUAAGUGCCACCAAGGAAUGGAACGAAGUGGGGACUUAAUAGACUAUGCUAGAAUUAUAGCGGAGGGCUUAAUAUAAGGAGAUAUAAAAAUGAGUUUAAUUCAAGACUGGAUAGGACAAGAUAAAGACAACGGCGAAAUGAUUAAGCUACUAAAGAAAAAAGUGGCUAAAAUUGAGCAUGAAAUAGACUACAAAAAGGCAGAGAAAAUUUUUGAUUUCAUUGAAGAAUUCAUGACUUUGCCUAAUAACGAACGCUUUAAAAUCAUACCAUAUCACAAGGCUGUACUUACUUUAAUGUAUUGCACGCCUUAUCAGAUUGACGAGUUUGUUGUUAUUGUAGGACGUUCAAACGCCAAAUCUAUUCUUGAUGUCAUGAUAGCCUUAAUUGAACUCUUUUUGUUUCCUAAGCCUAAUAGUGUUAUUGCUUUAAUGGCUACCAAAAAGGACCAAGCUGAAAAAAUCUUGAUGAAGCAUUUCAGAGCUAUGGGAAACUGUCAAGGUACUAUCAUUAAUAAGUUUAAAAAUCAGUUUAAACUAAACAAAGAGCAAAUACUUGUAAAGGAUAAUUCAAUACUAAAAAGUAAAGGGACAGAGAUUUCUAUCUAUGCUAGUAACGAGGACACAUUGGACGGUGGACGUGAACAACUUGUUAUCAUAGAUGAGUUUGGUGCGUUCAAAAAGAACCCUCUUAUUACUAUUAGACAGGGGCUAAGAAAAAAUAAGGGUACGCUUUUUAUUUCAACCACAAACAACGUUAUACGCGGAGGAGCUUAUGAUGAUGAGCUAGAAAGUUGGAAAGAAUGGGUAAAAGACGACGAUUUCAGCCAUUGGGUAUUCUAUUAUGCCUUAGACGAUUACGAUGAAGUAAAAGACAGUUCUAAAUACAUCAAAGCAAACCCAGCUUUAGGCUACACUUUAAGUCUUGAGGACAUUCAAAAGGACUUUAUAGGGGCAAUUGGUAACCCUGUUAAAAUGGCUAAAAUUAUCACUAAACGCUUCAACUUGUCAAUGACUGACAGCACUACUAUUUUUAGCAAACAGUUAGUAGAUAAAUGUCUAGUACCUCCUCUUGACUUUAGCGGUCGUUUAGUUGCUAUUGGUUCAGACUUUUCAGUACGUGGAGAUGUUUGGGGAACUGUGAUAGGUUAUAGAGAGAAUGGACACUAUUAUUUUAAAGCUAUUCCAGUCAUGCCAGAGAGUGCAGAAGACAAGUUUAAACACUUAGGGGAAACAAUAACACACGAGGGCAUUAAUAACAUGACAGACGAAGCAUGGGACGCUUUUAUGAGUGCUAUGAAUGGUAGUGUUCCGAUUGCGUUGAAUUACGACCCUAACUAUGCAAAGAAUUUCAUUGAUAAAUUUGAACAGACUUAUGACAUUGAAUUUUAUAACAAAGUAAUGCAGAACAGUUUCAAGCUAUCAAAUACCCUGGAAGCCACUCAAAAGCUCAUGGAGGAGGGUAAAAUUCAUUUUGAUAGUAAGUUACUAGCGGUUCAUUUAAUGAACGCAGAAACGAAAAUAAACGAUUUUGGGCUUAUGCGUAUUAUUAAAAAAGGCUACACAGAUAAGAUUGAUUUGGCUGACGCUUUAAUUAAUCUAAUGUGGUGGUUCUUAGAAAGUGAAGAAAGUGAGGACUAUUUUAUUUAAUGGCUAUGACAGAAGAAGAAAAUAAAAAAAUGCUAGAGGCGUUAAAAACCCUAGCAUUCGGAGGAAAAGAAACAAAAACGGUUAUCCAAUAUAAGAACAACCCUAACGGACGGAAGACAGAAACAGGGCGAACAGUUACGGAAGUCAACAAACUGCCAGACCGUUCGGCAUUGUUGAAACUAAUGGAGAUUGAGGGCGUUUAUAUUGACGCAAACGUUAAACUUAAACAGCAAAAAGUGGACGAAGUAAGCACAGAAAAAGAACUAGUAGACUUAGUGGAGGGCUUAGCAAUAGAAUGACUAUUUUCAAGGCAUAUUGUUGGAACUCUAACACAGGUAGAGAUUUCACAAUAAAAAAACCUAAUUGGAACAUUGUACAACGUUGUUCUUUAAAGAGUAUCGAAACAAUUCAAUAUUUGCAACAACAUAUCUAUUUAUUAGACGGAACGACAGGGGUAGAAACAAGCAAGCGUUGGCAAAGAAAAAAAUGUCCUGACGACUGGAAUAGACCUUUUAGUUAUGGUUCUGUCAUCACUAAACCACAAGGAGAGAACAAAAUAAGCGGUAUUGCUUUUUGUACAGAUUAUGAAAGAAAACAAUAUCCUAGCUUAUACCCUAACUUUGUAACCCCUAACCUCACACAAGGGCAAAAAUACGGCUUGUCAGGCACUUUAUACAAUUCAGGUAUAAAUGUACUAGAGGUUAGGCUAAAACUUCUAUACGGUACUAAAAAUGAGCUUGUAGCUACAUACCAAGUUCGACCUAAUCAAUACUUAGAUGUAAAAGAAAUUUACACGCUACCUAGUACAGAAACGGUUGAAAAGUUUGGUAUAGCCUUUGAAGUGGCACAGACAAGCGAUUUUGUACAAUUUGAAGUGUACUUGCCUAAGAUUGAACAAGGUGGAGAGGUCACUCCGUUUGUUGAGGAUAGAGAUGAAUUUAAUGGCUAUCGAAAAACUAACACAGAUGACGGAACGCCGCCGUUUACUGGGACUUAUGAGGGUACAGCACCACAAAGCACCGAUUAUAAAGUUUAUACUUGGGCAGGUUCUAAAACUGAUAAAGAGCUUUUUUACUUAGAAGAGAGGGGGAUUUGCAAACAAGAAGCUGUUUGGUGCUAUUGUCGCCCUAUUAAUCAACGUGUAUUAAUUGGAAUUGAUUCAGAUACUUAUGACACCGAAGCAGGUAGAACACUCAAAUUUCAUGUUUUGAACGGAAAUAAAGGUAUAUUUGAUUUAACUGGUAACGUCAUUUAUCCUGAACAGUUCACAGAAAAACGCCAAACUUUUGAUAGCGACACAAAAGCAUGGGUUGAUAAUCAAGAGCCUUUGUAUGUCACAGACGCAAAUACAGCCAUUGAUUGUGUGUUUGGCGAGAUGUCAAGUAACAUUAUUGAGGGUUUCAAUUACCAACAGGCUGACAAGCGUUAUAGGGUUGAUGAAGUAUUUCGUUCGGCAAUGGUAAACAUCGGUUAUAAUAUGGGUUCUUAUUGGGCGGAAUGGAAUUUCGAUAGUUACGCGGAAGAAAUGCGUGCAAGUUAUAACAUCGAGAAUUGUAGGGUUAGUGAAAAAACAAGUUAUAGUUCUAUGAAUGAAUGGACUGGAAGCGUGUCUUUUCCUACUGGUGUUGUUUUAGCACCUUAUAAGCCUAAACUAAACGAAACGGACACUAAAAAACUCAAAGGGGUUUCUAGUGCUACCUCAAUUUGGGCUAAAGGUAACCUUAGAACUGAACGAACUGUAGAAGAUUGGUUUAGAGAAUACGAAAAUUCAAGAACUAGACCAGUACCAACGCAAAUUCUUUUUGCUAACUAUAACACUAAAAAAGCGUGGUUGUUCCAACAACAAAGCAACGGAACAUGGAGCAAAAGCAGAGAAUUUACGAUACCGGGAAGUGCCACAGCAUUUGCUAGAGCUUGGGGUAUUAUACCAAAAAACGGAGAAUUAAAAGGUAAUGUUAUCAUGACAGAUAAGAAUUAUGCUGAUUUUCCCGCAAACGCUAGACCGAUAACGUUAGGAGUAGAAGAAUUAUUUCCAGUUAUAAAGUAUAACGAAGUUAAGUUUAACCCUCAAAUGUAUGCAACUGCGUACAAUACCAAACUAUUUUGGUGGGGUCAAAAAGCAAAUGUAAGCAAUUUGACUUAUGGGGAAUGUGGAGUUCGUUCAGUUGAUUUUAUGACUGGUUUAUGCACAAUAGAAAGGGUAUAUAAAUGAUUUCAUGGUUAAAUUUCGAGGAGUUAUUAAUUCAUAACCCUAUUGAGUUGAUAAACCCUAGUAAAGAUACAAUAAGAGUAGCAAUGAGCCAAAAGCAGUAUAUCGAGUUUUUCAGCAAUAAAUACACUUAUAACGGUCUGUAUUAUGACGAAGAAAUGGACUUCUGUUUAUUUUAUUAUGCAGACCCAUUACAAAGCUACAAAGAGGGCGAUGUGUACGCUCAAGGAUAUAUUGAUGUAGAAAUGAAAAUAUACCGCGUAAAAUGGUUGUGUAACGUUUCUAUUAGUCGUCCUAGUGGUUUAUUGCAAACUACUGACGGAACCCAAGGAGUGCCACAAGAGGGCGGAAAAUACACUCACACAGCAUGGUCUUACAGUGCAGACGGUACAGACAGAUUCUCAACUGUUUAUCCUAAUUUGAAUUUAUUGAAUGGGACUAAAGAUUUUAAUGGGGAUUGGAUAAAUGGAGGUGUUUGGGGAAACGAUGGAAAAUAUAAAGGCUUAACUGUUAAAAGUUAUCAAAAAGCAUGGGACGGAAUGUUCAAAAAAUAUAUUGUCCCACAAGACGGUUUAUAUACAUGGUCUAGUUUUGUCAAGAGUGAAUCAGACACCUCUGACAUUUUUAGAGUAUUGUUCAUAAAUAAUAAGGAAUUUCCUAUUGUUGGGCUUGGUCAUAAAUUUGAUUGGCUUCGUGAUUCCGUAACAGUACCUCUAAAAAAAGGCGAUGAAGUCAUAUUUAACUAUGGUAAUUUAAAAAAUAAUGGAGGUAAAUUAAGUGUUGCUGGUUAUAAACUAGAAUCAGGUUCAAUUGCCACUCCUUGGAUGCCCUCAGCUAGCGAAGUCACAACUUCUGACGGUCCUAGCUACAUCGGUCAAUAUACAGAUUACACGCUAGAGGACAGUACAAACCCUAGUUCUUACACUUGGAGAGAAAUACGAGAGGACAAAUGGAACGUUACAAAAAUAGGUAUGCUUGUAAGUCCACAAGAUAAACAAAUUACAAUGGUUCAAGCAGGGGCAUUAAUGAAGUGUGGAAUUAAUAACGACAUUACAGGUUGGACAGACGGAACAACACAAUUAAAUUACAGCGGUCAAGAUUUUAUAAUUGACGGUUAUGGAAUGAGAGGGCUACACAAUGGAUAGUACAAUAAAUGGUAAAACGGUACAUAUAAAUAACCCAUUAGAUCUUAUAGGCUUAGGACGUAGGGAAAUCGAGUUCAACAUUCCUAAAACUGAUUAUUGGGAAAUGUUCAAAGAAACUAUGCAAGUACCUACAAUGAAACGUGGAGGGUACAAAAACCUGCUUAAAGGUGGUUGGGUAUUUGUUGACCCUUUUAAUCAGGGUAGAGAUUUGUGGACUAGAGAAUAUUUCACAACAUCAGGCGGAACGGUAUGGCAAACUUUUGGAGCUAGCGGAGAUAUUUUUGAUUAUGGUACUUAUGAAAGUGGAUAUUAUAAUUUUAAGUGUCCUAAUACUGAAAACGAAGAAGAUUACAUUAUCGGAAAUCAACUAUCUUUUUUACAAGCAGGCAAAACUUACACUUUACAAUGGGAUAUGAAGCGAACAACUUCUUCUAUAAAAGGAGAUAUACAAAACUUCAUAGGAGCAGGAGCAGGGGAUUGGACUUUCAUAGACACAAGUAAACCGUUUUACGUAAAUGGUUCUUUGCAUUCAGCAGGUACUGACGGUUACGUUAGUUGGAAUAGUUUCAUUGAUUCAGAAGAUACUUCAUGGCAUAGGUGUACAAUCGUAUUCACUUGUAAAAACCCUAUAACUGACUUGAGUAAACGAACGAUACGUUGGAGAGCUAAAAAAGGUAGCUCGUGGAAAGUAAAAAAUAUUAUGAUGUUCGAGGGUUCUGAACCAUUGGGGACUGAUUUUAGAUUACAUGAUGAGGAAUAUUAUGAUUGGACUUUCUACGAGGGCAAACAAGGAAUGCGAGAGGUGUCCGCUAACUUUGGUUUUUAUUACAGCGAAGAGUAUGCUUUUUGUUCAGCAUUUAAGGUCAAUAUACAUAAAGGGUUUGAAACAAGAGGCUUCAACCCAGUUACACAAGAGUUUGAAUGUAAAUCAGAAGUUGAGAACUUUGCACAAAUUGUCAACCCUACAAUCAAAUACUAUCAGGACAUUAAACAAAUACCUGAUAACGUGAAUUGGAAUAAUACUAUCAUAUACAACCCUAAACCGAACGGAAUAGAUUACUUACAAUGUAGAGCUAAAGGGAACUAUAUGAGUCUAUAUAAAGUCAGAGAUGAUAAUUAUAGUUCAUACGUUCCUAAACGUUGGCAAGCUACAUUUUUUGAUUCAGUUCCUAGCAGUAAAUGGUUAUAUGGCGGAUAUUGUUAUACUGGUACAUUACAAACGUACGAGAUAGAAAACUAAUAAGAAAGAAGAAAGAAAGAUAAUGAUUGAAACAUUGAGAGCGAUUGGCUUAGUUGUAUUUAUGCAGUUGCUUAGUUUAGCACUAGAGUUUAUAGACACAGGUACUUUAAAGCCUAGCUUUAGAAAAAGAAUAGCAGUAGAAUUAAUGGUAUUGUCUGUUUAUGUGUCAGGUAUGACUGUGUUCAAAGGUAUGAUUAGUGAUGAACUAAUAACACUCAUUGGAACUGUAUACUUAACAGUAGUAGUUAGUCAUCUGUAUAAGUUCUUAACUGAAAAGAAAGAAGAAACAAGCGGAGGAGAUAAAGAAGAAUAG